GGGGGUGACUAUGUUUCGACAGGAAGCCCUGUGGUUAUGUGCAAAGUGGCAGUGAGAAGUCUGCCUUAUCACUUUCUCAAACAAUAGUUGCAAAUAAAACUGCACGUGGAAUCUUGAGCCCAUUUCAGGCAAAGGAUUUCAGCUUCGCUUACGCGUAAUCGCCUAAGCGACCAUUGCCUUGUUUGACGUUCGAUAGAACAAACGCGAUGUCAAAAAUUCGAAAUCGGAAUGAUGCUUGAUCCGACAUCAUUUUUAAAUUAAGGAAAUCGAUAUAGUGUGGUUUUGUUUACUCUUUACACAUUAUAUUWAAACUUAGAGUAAACUACACUUUGUAGAAGCAUUCUUGCAGACUUUUUUGGACGGGGUUUCGUAGCCCCCACCUCCACAA
rnacentral:tmRNA from 1 species